GACGAACGCUGGCGGCGUGCCUAAUACGUGCAAGUCGAGCGGAAGUUGGAGAGCUUGCUCUUCAACUUUAGCGGCGGACGGGUGAGUAACACGUGGGCAACCUGCCCUGCAGAUCGGGAUAACUCCGGGAAACCGGUGCUAAUACCGAAUAGUUUUCGCCACCUCCUGGUGGCGUACGGAAAGACGGUUUCGGCUGUCACUACAGGAUGGGCCCGCGGCGCAUUAGCUAGUUGGUGGGGUAACGGCCCACCAAGGCGACGAUGCGUAGCCGACCUGAGAGGGUGAUCGGCCACACUGGGACUGAGACACGGCCCAGACUCCUACGGGAGGCAGCAGUAGGGAAUCUUCCGCAAUGGACGAAAGUCUGACGGAGCAACGCCGCGUGAGUGACGAAGGUUUUCGGAUCGUAAAACUCUGUUGUGAGGGAAGAACAAGUACCACUUAACUACUGGUACCUUGACGGUACCUAACCAGAAAGCCACGGCUAACUACGUGCCAGCCGCCGCCGUAA
rnacentral:rRNA from 1 species